ACCAUGGAGAGUUUGAUCCUGGCUCAGGAUGAACGCUGGCGGUAUGCUUAACACAUGCAAGUCGAACGAAAGUUUUUAACUUUAGUGGCGAACGGGUGAGUAAUACGUGAGAAUCUGCCCUUAGGAAAAGAAUAACUUCUGGAAACGGUUGCUAAAUCUUUAUAUGUCGAGAGAUGAAAUAGCUUAGGCUGCCUAAGGAUGAGCUCACGCCUGAUUAGCUUGUUGGUGAGGUAAUGGCUCACCAAGGCCACGAUCAGUAGCUGGUUUGAGAGAAC
rnacentral:ncRNA from 1 species